rnacentral:pre_miRNA from 1 species
GAUUUCAAUUGAAAAAGUCAUCAAUAACAAGCUUGUAUAACUCAUCAAAAUCUAUAACUUCUAUUUUAGUCAUUUCUUCAUCCAACAAAGUGAUUUGUAAGACUGUUCACAAAAUGCACAUCUCUUAUAUAAAACUAUAUAAGAGAUGUGCAUUUUGUGAACAGUCUUACAAAUCACUUUGUUGGAUGAAGAAAUGACCAAAAUAGAAGUUAUAGAUCUUGAUGAGUUAUACAACCUUGUUAUUGAUGACUUUUUCAGUUGAAAUC